CAGCAGCCGCGGGAAUACGAAGGGUGCAAGCGUUAAUCGGAAUUACUGGGCGUAAAGGGUGCGUAGGCGGUUGUUUGAGUCUGUUGUGAAAUCCCCGGGCUCAACCUGGGAAUGGCAAUGGAAACUGGACGGCUAGAGUGUGUCAGAGGAUGGUGGAAUUCCCGGUGUAGCGGUGAAACGCGUAGAGAUCUGGAGGAAUACCGGUGGCGAAGGCGGCCCCCUGGACAAAGACUGACGCUCAGGUGCGAAAGCGUGGGGAGCAAACAGGAUUAGAUACCCCUGUAGUCCCUGUCUCUUAUAC
rnacentral:rRNA from 1 species